UGCGCAUGUCAGAAACGAACAAACGAACUUGCGGCGAGAAGGCAAGAUACACCUGAGCUGGAUCAUUUAAUUACUUCAUCACAGACUAGCUAACAAGUGAGAUGCAUUGAUGGACCUAGUUACAUGACUGGCGACUGGACCAACGUUCUUAUGACCUGACCAGAACCUUCUGCAGCAACAGAAGUUGUCUAAAGAAAGAUCAUCAACCUCCAGGCUGCGUCAGAUUAGGUGAUGUGCAGCAACCUGUCGCUGAAGACUAGAAGACUGCUGGCAAGUACACAUGGGUCACGAUGAAACACACCACUCCAUUCCCCACCAUGCACACGAGGAAGAUCAGCAGGUAGGACACGAUGAAGAUGGCUGCUGUGGACGGCUGAUGCAGUUUGUGAUGCUGCUGCUCUGACACUAGAGGGAGCUACUGACCCAGAAACCAUGAGGAACGUCAUCUGCUCAUCAGGAAGCAGUGAGUAGUAUUAUAUUCUUCUAUGUUGCCAAGUGAUGUGUGGAGAUAAAAGAAAAAAUAUAAUUAGAGAUUUGAAAUGCUACAAUGAUUGUUCACAUUAUUGAUUAAUUAGUCUUUAAUAUAUUUGAAUCUAGUAAAAAAAAAAAAAAAAUGACCAUCAGUUUUCUAAAGUCCAAGGUGACAUAUUGUUUUGUAGUAAGAAAUGUGAAAAUAUUCAGUUAACUGUGAUUAAACUGAGACCCGACAAAUAAUCAUUUGGUCCAUAAAAAAAAAGAAUUUCCUAAAACUCAAGUUGAUGUAUCCAAAUAGUUUUUGUCCAAUCACCAGUCCUAAACACUAAUUCUUAAUUGAUUUACUGUCACCUAAGUAAAAGGAACAAAAACAUUGGAACUCAGGAUUGUUUGGAAUUUUUGCUUAAACGAUCGACUGAUCAUCUCAGCUCCAUCAGUUACCUAAUUUAUUCUUUUCUUAUUUCAUAUAAUGGUAACAGUUUAUUAUCCCUCUUUAGCAUUUAUAAAUAGAAUUUAAGAUUUUUUUAUAAAUGAUUUGUAACACACUAUAAUGCAGAUAUAAGGACAUUUUACAAGUUAAUGUACAAUAUUUGUCAACAAUCAGCUUCUCCCAUGAAAAUAUAUUUUAUUACAACUGUGUUUUAAAAUUUGGUAUAAACGGUUCAUUAAAUGGCAGAAAGUGUAAAGCGUUUCCCAAAAAAGGCAGCACACCAUCACUGUCUGAUAUUUCUGUUUAUUUUCAAUAUACAUUUCAUUUGAAAAAUAUAAAUUCUAAAAUAAACAAUUUCACCUGUUUCUAAAAAUUCACAAAAAGUUAAUCCAAAAAAAAAAAAAAGUAUCAGUAUUUCAUACGCUAUAAUUAACAUCAUUAACAAGUUUUUGAUUUCAUGUUGCAGAUUUUUGUCUGACAUGCUUACACAGUAUGACACACUUUACACUAACAACUCCCCACAUAACAUGACCCAGACACGUUCGGCUGUUGACGGCUAAAAAACACUGAUGUACAAAGUUACUUCGGCUGAUGGACUGAAACAAACGGACAAAAACAAAUUCAACACACUGACCAGUGGUGGUACAAAGUAACUUGCUGCGUUUUGGUUUCGAGCCGACAUGCCUUUAUGUACAGGAUUUACAGAGGAAGAAGGCGGCUCAUUUAUCACACAGUUUAAUUGUGUUUCUGUAGUGGUGCUGAGGACGGCGUGGACUUCAAAUCGAAUCCGUGACCCACUGAGACCUAAAAAUCAAAGUGAGAAAGCGCUUCAGUUUGCCCGUCAGAGAUACAGUGGGGAUACGGUGAUGAUGAACAGUGCUAAAGAAGCCACACUUUGUUCUGUAGGUAAUACUGGCCAAUACAAGUCAAGCUGUCCAAUCUGAGGGGCUUUAUUUUUUCUCUAUGUGACUUUGGACUCACUGGCCGCUCUGUAGGGAAUGCUGUGAAGUUUUAGCAAGUCUAUCACAUGGCAUAUAUGUUGCGUAAAUCACUGUUAUCAUCCCUCCUGUUCAUACUGGCCAUGAAACAGUCCCUUCUUGGUGCGACUACACUGGGGGACAAAAUGCACUCCUGAAUUCAGCUGUUAGACGGAGGAAGUUAUGGUCUUUGUGGUACAGAGGCGUUUGCUCACUGAGCUGCAGCGCAGGGACACGUCCUGUUAGUUUCAUGUAGUUUUGCUGAACUCGACACUCGUGAUUAACUUGUUUUUUUGUUUGUCUGGAUCUGUUGUCAUAGCGACAAGUCCUCAAGCCCAAACGGCAGGUUUAUUCAGUUAGUAAAAUGCUUUUUAGUGCAAAACGAGCACUGUGGAUUAUAACCUGAUUUCUCAAAAAUCAAUAUAUUGUCUGUGUAUUG